rnacentral:rRNA from 1 species
CGAAAGCCUGACGGAGCAAUACCGCGUGAGGGAUGACUGCCUAUGGGUUGUAAACCUCUUUUUUCAGGGAGGAACACAAUGACGUGUACCUGAAGAAUAAGCAUCGGCUAACUCCGUGCCAGCAGCCGCGGUAAGACGGAGGAUGCAAGUGUUGUCCGGAAUCACUGGGCGUAAAGCGUCUGUAGGUGGUUUAAUAAGUCAACUGUUAAAUCUUGAGGCUUAACCUCAAAAUCGCAGUCGAAACUAUUAGACUAGAGUAUAGUAGGGGUAAAGGGAAUUUCCAGUGGAGCGGUGAAAUGCGUAGAUAUUGGAAAGAACACCGAUGGCGAAGGCACUUUACUGGGCUAUUACUGACACUCAGAGACGAAAGCUAGGGUAGCAAAUG